rnacentral:ribozyme from 1 species
UUUGGCUCAAGCCCAAAUGUUUGUUGCAAACCGUGCCUCUGGUCAACGUCUCCCCGGCACCGACUGGACCCCAGG